ACGCUCGACACCUACGGGGGCAGCAGUGGGGAAUAUUGCACAAUGGGGGAAACCCUGAUGCAGCGACGCCGCGUGAAGGAAGAAGUAUCUCGGUAUGUAAACUUCUAUCAGCAGGGAAGAAAGUGACGGUACCUGACUAAGAAGCCCCGGCUAACUACGUGCCUGCAGCCGCGGUAAUCUGAGCGGGCUGGCAAGGC
rnacentral:rRNA from 1 species